GUGUGCAUAUUUUGAUUUGUGCGUGUGAAAUCUGUGCGUGUGUAAACAGAUCCACAAAUGCGUAUAGAAAUCUGUGCAUGUGUAUUUUGAUCUGUGCGUGUGUAAACAGAUCCACAAAUGCGUAUAGAAAUCUGUGCGUGUGUAUCCGUGUGUCUGUGAAAAUCGGGCCACUCGAUUGGACGUAUUCUUACUCGUGACUUUUGCUACAGUUCUGCCGCGUCAGAUCUGUAAAUGCGUGCAGCGAUUUGUGUCUGUGUGGAGACUCGUCUGUGCCUCAGUGGUUAUACAGCUUCAUACCACCAGAGGGCGCAAGCUCACCGCUGCCAUUUUAAGCCCAGCUGGAUAGACUGUAUGGUAGGAGAAACAGACGAUGCAGUGGAGUCUGGAUGGCGUGCAGUAAGUACAUAAUCGUUAUAUUGUGAUAACUUCGGUUGUUAUAAGUGGUAUUUUCGAAGAAAUAACAAUGUUAAAAAAAUCUAUCUGUUAACAAGUUAUGUUAUCUUGUUAGAGACACAAUACCUGAAGUCCAACAAAUUAGCAGCUAGCCUUGGACCUGAGACACAGCACAUAAGAUAUCGUCAAGGAUUUAGCUUGGAGUCAUUCCAUCUGACUAUCUACCAGACUUUUCUGCAUAUUCAAGGAGAUGUGAUGUGGUGGCAAGAAGUAUUUCUAAUGUGAUAACUUUAACAGCUUUUUCAAAGUACCCAGUUUAUUGUCAUUCCGCCAAAGUGCUUAUUUGUCUGCCAUUAAUUACAUUUUUCUUCCAACCUAUCUUUUCUUUCUUCAUUCCUUUCUAUCUGAAGCUGAAAGAAAAGUCUGAACUCCAAGGUGAACAGUGUGACAGUGUUGUCAACCUUUGCAUGUUAUGGGACCUUCCGCUUCCAAACCUAAACAUGAAGUGGCUCCAUGACAAGCUACUCAUACAUGCGGUUCUGGAUCGACCAGCAAAACAAGUGAAGCAGUUAUGGAAGGGACUGAAGGAGACUGGCAUUUGGCCUCUUCUCUGCUAUAGAGCAGAUGUAGAGAAACUGCUUUUCCCUUGUGAAAAAGAUGCAGAGAUCACACCCCAGAUGAUUCUUGCACACAUCACAUGGCCCUAGCUGAAAUCAGAUUUUGACUCUGAUGACGAAGAUGAGGCAUCUGUGGAGGCCAUCACACAGGUCACAGGCUACUUCAGGAGUUUUAUUGAACACGCUUACUCAGAACUGAUGAAUCUGCUGCAAUUCUGGGUGGGUUGGGAGGUUCCACCCAAGGAGCUGAUUGUGAAGAUUUGACCAAAUUCUUUAUGUGUUGACCUGAAGUUGUGGCCACCGAUUUUACAUACAUUUGGGACAUCUGGCUCCGGUACUGGACACUGCAGUUGUCCUAUUUCCCACAGUUGGUUGGGUGACAUGUUCUGCUCGGAUUUCAAUGAAUGGUUGUCCCACCCAUCAUGGAACACAUCAAGGGAGGCCUGGAGCCGUGGAAUGAAGACAUAGUGGCAACAGAACAAGUGUAGUUCACUGGGCAGAUCUUGAUGUCCUUCAUCUUCUAAGGUGUGAAGAACACUGUAGAAGACAUUUGUCACUGCCAUGUACGCAUCUCUCCAAAGUCUCUCAAUCCUGUAAAAUUGGCAGAAAUAAUUUGGCAAAGGUUAAUUUUUCUCAGACAUUAUGGAUGUGGCAUAAAAAGCUAACAUACAUAUUAAUAUUAGAUAAACGUUUGAAUAACACAAGAUUUAACACAAAAUAUGCCAGACUACUCCCUGUUAGAAUUCACCUGAGAAAUACAGCUGUUCAUUGGCAAGUUUGUUUUUUUUUUUUAGGGGGGGCUAGCUGAAGCUGCUGAAUGUAGUUAAUGCUUUUCAGUUAGGCUGAGGUAGAUGACAAGAGCUGUUGAAUCAUUGUUUAGUCUGUAUUAAGGCUUUUAUGCAGAUGUUGAACAAAACAGGUCACUACAAAAGUAACACCAGUAGAUGCCAUUGUUAGGCCGUUAUAGGUAGAUAAAAUGUUAUGAUGCUCAGGUUUAUGCCAUUGUAAAAUACAUGGCAACUGUUAAGUUGGUGGAUGCAAAAAAACAGGGUGGUUUAUUACACAAUGGGAGAUGGUUGUUAGUGUAUUGUAAGUGAAUGCAAAACGCUGUCAGUUUGCUUAUGAUUGUAAAUUGUAUGGUUGACCCUUCAUCCAGUGUUUUAAUAAAGUCUACCUUUGAUUGUGUACAUUUUUUUCCCCGCAAUGAAACUCCCCGUUCCAGUGCCACAAACAGACAACAUUAGACGUGCAACACCAAUAUUCUCCACUCCUUGAUCAGCUCUUACUCUGGAAAAUGUACAUGAAACAUGCAAUUUAGUGCAAAAAAAAAAAAAAAACUAAUCACUUUAUGAAACAAUCAAUGCAAAGUGCUCAAGAAAGGUGGGCUUAGGAAACAUAGCAGAUAGUGCUGCACAGCUCAUGUUGCUAUGCCCAGGUUGAGUCAGCAACAUUU